CAGCAGUAGCCACGGGAAUACAGAGGGUGCGAGCGUUAAUCGGAUUUACUGGGCGUAAAGCGUGCGUAGGCGGCUUUUUAAGUCGGAUGUGAAAUCCCUGAGCUUAACUUAGGAAUUGCAUUCGAUACUGGGAAGCUAGAGUAUGGGAGAGGAUGGUAGAAUUCCAGGUGUAGCGGUGAAAUGCGUAGAGAUCUGGAGGAAUACCGAUGGCGAAGGCAGCCAUCUGGCCUAAUACUGACGCUGAGGUACGAAAGCAUGGGGAGCAAACAGGAUUAGAUACCCCCGUAGUCCCUGUCUCUUAUAC
rnacentral:rRNA from 1 species